rnacentral:misc_RNA from 1 species
AUUUCAUCUCCAUCCAUCUCAACGAUUGGAUUGACGACCUUGAUCUUCCCAUAAGCCAUAAUCGAUUUUCCUUCUUUUUUUUCUUGUUUUCUAUGUCCAAUAAAAUGGAUUUUGAGUUUAAAGAUGAAAAGGGACGAGGAAGGAGAUGGUAGGAUAGGAGAAGAAAGAGCUUCUGCUUCUCUGUGAGGGUUUAAAAGCACAGAAAGAGAGCGGUUUUCGACGAGUGGGCAAGUUUGCUGAAAGAAUGAGCAGAGACAGUUGCAGGGCUAAUUAUUAGUGCAUAUGAUGCACUAAAAAA